CCUCUAAUUUAUAAUUGGCCAAAAAUAAUUAAGAAUUGUAAGCAUUUACACUCUCAAAUAUAUAAUUCUCUCGCAAAUUCCUUCCAAAUUUACCUGUUCUCUAUCACACACAAAACCCUAUGCCCAAAUUUCUUUGAAUUUAUCGUAUCCACAAAUUUCUUUGAAUUUCAUUACCUAAAACACUCAAAUUUCAUCUCACAGUAGCUCAGUUUGCAAUGGAUUCAAAGAAAUUUGAAGGAUAUAUAUAUACACAAACAAAGAAAUAAAGGAUUUAGGGUUUAAGGAUGAAUGAAGAGUUAAGAGAAUGGAACAGAAAUUGCUUGAAGCUUCUCUGAUCAGCUAUUUUCCCUAGAGAUUCGAUGGAGCUAUGCUGGAGACCUGUGUGCUUCGUAAAUCUUGACAGGAUUUCGUUAUCUGAACACAGUGCUAUUGAUCAAGGAGAGAAAAAAAUAAUUUAUUAAGAAUCUGCAGGUGUACUCGGAAACAAAAAUGGUGUAGUUGUCUUCUAUUUUCACUAGCUUUACCAAAUCUAUAGCAAUCAGAAAUGGGAAGAAAAACAAACAUGAUGUCGGAAAGGAAGCUGCAGAUGCACUGGCUAAGGAAGCUAAAAAGAGCGAGAUGAUAUUAACGUCCUCAUGUUGUGUAACUGGUGUCUCUGAGAAUUUGGCUGCUGUUUUCUCUAAAGGAGGGAAGAAGGGCACCAGUCAGGAUAGAUUUAUUGUGUGGGAGGUAUGGAAAUUGAAAAUCUCAUCUUUUGCAAUAGUACUGUAACUUUCUGCUCCAUUGAUGUAUCUGAAUUUGUUGACAUAAAAUUUGAAUCUUAGGACUUUGGUUGCCAAGAUGAUAUGAUCUUCUGUGGGAUGUUUGAUGGGUAUGGUCCUUGGGGUCAUCUUAUUGCUAAAAGAGUCAAAAAAUGCCACCAAUUUUGCUUAAUAAUUGGCAGAAACGGGUUGCCUGGAUGGUAGUUAUGGGAUUAAUGGCAUAGAUACUAGUUGUAAUAUCUAGUGUGACAUUUAGAAGCAGUCCUACUUUGAGACUUGCUCAGUCCUACUUUGAGACUUGCUCCACCAUCGAUCAAGAGCUCGAGCAGCAUACCGACUCUUUCUACAUGGUACCGCAGCUUUGACUCUCAUUAGAUAGGUAAAGUCCACACUUUAGUACAAGUUAGAGUACGCUAUAAUUAUCAGGACGGAAUAAUAAUGAGGCAUGUGAUAUUUACUUUAAUUUCUCACUGCAAAACACUCCCGUUUGCCUGUUACAGUAAGUGUCAAUGCAUGUAUAAUAGUAGAGAGGAUUGGAGUGUUGAAGAUUUAGAGAGGCCGGCAUUUAGUUGUUACAUAUGAGCUAGCAUGCAUACUUUUGGCUUAACAUUUGUUUUGGCUUAUUUCUGGUGAUUGAGUAUUAUUUAUUAAUGAGAUUAAAAUUCUAGAUUUGAACUCGCCGAAUAUGCAAAGCUACUGUUAUUUGGUUCGAUCAGCGGUUAAUUCUUGCUGUAAUACAUCAAUAAAGUUCCACUUUUCUGAUAAAAAUACAAAUACAUUAUGAAUCACUAUUUAGAAAGUAUGACAUUUGUGUUUUCUGUUUUAUUUUAAAUGCAAAUAUAUGAGCUGAAGACUGGAAUCAGGUAGUAUGACAUGUUUUCCCUUGAAGAAGUCGCAGUUAUGAACUUCUGUUGUCUGAUUUUCAUCUUUAUGCAAUAUCUAUGAAAAUUUCACACUAUUGAAGGAGAAGAUGCAAUAAAGGACAAUGUAAAGUUGGUUAAGAAGUUGUGGUGUUAAAAAUUUGAUUAUCCAUCUUUAGUCUGGAAAUAUUUUCAUUGUUAAUUAUUUGUGAUAACUGAUUUUAAUUGGAUUGUUUUUUUAUUUUCCUUUCGAGGCGACGUCUCAUCAUCAUAAAGGUAAUACUUGUCAUCUCGAUUCUACAUUCUGCUACAACUGCUCCAAAGCUAGUGCUUCUUUAUUUUGCCAUUUAUUAGUAGCUAGUGUUUUCAGAUGAAAUGAACAUUGUUCAGAUACAAAAAUUACUUCUAAAUUAAGAUUUCUUAGAGGUUGUAAGUUUAAUCAAUUGAAUGCACGAAUUAAUGUUGUUCAGUAGAUUAGUUGCUAGUAAAGCACUUAGAGGUUUUCUAAAUUUUUAAUAAAUUGAAUGCGCGAAUCACUGUUGGAUAAGUGUUCUGAUAACUAGGACUUGCAGAUGAAAAUGUACUUUGAAGAAGCUACGAUUUCACGUGUUGUCAUGAAAAUUCAUUUUAAAAAUUGGUAUAGUUUGGUAUAGAAAACCGCUUAAUUUAAAUUGGAUGAAUUAUUAAAAUUAUUAAGUACUUAUGGGUGCUAUAGGGUUUCAAACUUGUGGAGAAACUUCACUAACUCUAGUUGGUUUUGUAUAUUGUUGCAACUACCAGACAAAUUACUUCAUUAUGGUUGUGGCUAUUCUUGGUAAGAAAUAAAGAAUCAUGUAUUACCCAAUUGAGAUAUGAUGUUUUGAUGGUAGUCUCUUUGGACUUACGAAUAACUUAAUGUACUUUUUGUAUUGCAGCACUGGGUUUCUUAGGAGGCCACUUGCUAUUGUUGCUGCUCAGUUGACAACUCUUAGUAUUGCUUUUCUAAAUGAUAGGACGUGGAUGUUUCACAAGAGUCUAUAUUACAGAAGAUGGAUGAUCAGACUAUUCUUAGUCUUAAUGGAUGCAGUGUAACAGAUCAAGUUCUGCAUUUAGUACCCAAUAUUCAGGUUUUUACCUCACAAUUAUGUCAAUGCAUUUGAUUUGAAACUUUACACUUAAUCUCCCCAUCCCCUCUUUGGCUGCUGUAGAAUUUUUGCACCACACUGAGAUGCAUGAGAUUGUAGGCAAAAGGAUGUGGAGUUUCCUCAAAUGUAAGAAUCUAGCAUGGCCCCUUGUAUCAUCUUAUGUGUACUUAAAGGUGCAGUACCUGCUAUCUUAGUGAAAGAUAGUUGGCGUCUCUUAAACGUGUGUCGCUUCUGUUUUGGCCAGGUUAUCGGAUUUCUAGGCGGUAUAAAUUGGGCAUUGCUUGUUGCUAGGAUUUGCUAGCUUUAUCCUACGUAGGUCCUAGCAUGUUAGGUGUUUUUAUGUGCUCAGUUUUCUAGGGUUUUCUGCUUUUCCUAUUGUACUGAACACAAUCAUUAUGAUCAGCAGGUUUUAUAUUCCUAUUGGUUCUAUUAGUUUAACCCAUUUAAUUCCUAUUAUUUAAUACAUAUAAAAAACUAUGAUUUUGCUUUAAUCAUGUUGAAUUGAAUGGCAUUCUGUGGGAGCACCAUCUUUGGUUUAGUAGAAGCAUUUUGCUCAACUGUGAGCAAACGUAGGUUAUGCUUUUUCCCAUUUUGGAUGAAGUAAAAAUUAUGAUCACUAAGAUAAGGUUCUAUUCUUAGGGCAAGGAUAGGACAGCUCUCCCUAGCAUGGGUAAGACAUUGGAAUCCAUGGUAGCUCAUGUAGUUUAUGUCGGUUAGAAGAACCUUCCAUAAGAAAGAGUAAAAGUAAAGAUUUCAGAAACUUAAGUGUUAUGGCUCACUGAGUUAUUCAUAUGCUUCAUUAUUUAAGAUUUAUGAUCUUACUGUCUCAGGUUUCACUCAAGUCCAAGGCGAGCCAUUUACGCUUGGCUUGCACGAAUUAAAAGCUUGUAUACUUACUUAGUUAUUGGUUUACUUAUGAAUUCACCCUCAUAUGCUCAGUACAUUCUAGAAGUAUUGAUCUAGAUAUAUGUCCGUGUGCUACAUUAUCUCAUAAUGUAGGUUUUGGUGCCCGUUUCCAAUAGCAAGAUUGACUUCGGCAUCAUUACCUGCAUCCCAACGUUUGGUGAGUCCUCAUAGUCCGAGGGCCCAGUCUUUUAGAUUUGUGUUUCUUUGAUGGAAGUAUUUUUGACAUUGGUUUCAGUUUAUAUUUGGGUCAACUGGCGUCUGUCCCAGUGGCUCUCUAUUCUAUAGUAUAGGGUUGUAAGACUACAUUUAAGUUAAAGUUCAAGAAGUUUGUGUAAAGAUUUCUAAUUUAAAGAUUCAUUUUAAUUUAUGAGAUUGUCUAUCUUUAGUUUUCUUCAUAUGUUAUCAAUCCUUAUUACAUGAGUUCUGAGUUAAAAAUAUUCCAUGGGUUUGGUUGGGUCUACUCGUAGUCUUGAGAACUGUGUGAUGUCCAGGGGGUAUUUCUGGGGCAUUACAAACUUGGUACCAUAGAUAGGUUUAAAGAGUCCUAGGGACUCAUACAAGCUGUGCUACUUAGAGUCUUGAUCACGAAUCUAAAGUGCGCAUAGGAGGCUAUGGAAUGAAUUAGGAAUUAUCUUUUUUUCAUGAUCUAUCAUGAUUACAGUUGUCUCUAUUUGCCUUAAGUCAUGCUUUUGCAUGACAAAAUAUGCCCCCUCACCUAGUUGCAACAUACGAAAAUGAUGAUCUACUACUUUUGCAAAUUGACCCUCUAAAUGAAAACAUUUCUCAUGCUGACUUUUGAGCUGCCUUCCAAGAUUGGCCCAAGCUGUUAAUGCCAAUGUUUAGGAAAAUCAACAACCAACAGUCCUACUUUAGCAAAAUGGUAAUUUAGAUGCAGCUAGGAUUCAGGAAUUUAUAAGGAUAAAUCCACCUGAGUUCCAUGGGUCAACGGUGGACGAAGAUCCUCAACUUUUUAUUGAUGAGAUAAGAAAGAUAAUUUAGAUUAUGCAUGUUACUGAAGAGGUUAGUGUAGAGUUGGCAUCCUAUAGGCUGAAGGAUGUUGCUCAUGAUUGGGUUACUAUGUGGAAGGAUGGUAUGGAUGAGAACGCAGACCCUAUGAGUUGGCAGGCAUUUCAAUGUACUUUUCUGGACAGGUUCUUUUCAUGUGUUAUGGGGGAGGCUAAGGGGGAUAAGUUCAUGAACCUAAGGCAGGGUUCUAUGACGAUGAAGGAGUACUGCCUUAAGUUCACUCAUUUGUCUAAGUAUUCUCCUGAAUUGUUAUCUGACUCUAGUGCUCGUAUGAGUAAGUUUAUUACUGGGGUAUCUGACAUGGUGUUCAAGGAGUGUAGGACUGUCAUAAUGAUUGGGAAUAUGUAUAUUUCUAGGUUGAUGACUCAUGCUCAACAGGUUGAGGCAGAAAAGUUGAAGGAAAGAGAGAAGAAACAAGAGGGCUAGAACUGGAUAGUUUAAGUAUGGUCAGCCAAGGUUAGGAGGGGGAAGCCGUUCACAGUUUCAAGGUCAUUCAUCACUGCCCGCACCAUCUUCAGCUAGUGCCCCUACACCCAAAAACAGGCAGAAGUAGUGAGAAGUAGUGAGGCAGGACUUUAAAUUCCAGAUCUCAGAACAGUGUAGCCGGGAGGGCCAGUUACCCGACAUGUGCAAAG